GGGGAUGACAGGUUUCGACGAUGGAUGUCGCGACAGGGGAAGCGGGCCGAGGAUGCAGAGUCAUCUCGUCAACGCUCUCUGCAAACCAAUAAGUGCCAAUUCUAAGCGCACUGACUUCGCUCUCGCUGCCUGAGCAGCCAGAAUGAGUCCGUCAGCCCGGGGACGCUUCCGCCCCGGUGACUGGCGUCGAUCAGGAAGCCACUGCUCUCAGUCCUUGCCGCAGGGAACUGAGGGGACAUUGAUGCGGCUGGGCCCGGGUCAGCCAUCUGUCUGCAGGACGGCUGGGGCCGAGUAACACCCGACGCAGAAUGCGCCCGGAGAAGCCCUGACAACACUUCAUCGGACGGGGGUUCGAUUCCCCCCAUCUCCACCC
rnacentral:tmRNA from 2 species